AUUGAACGCUGGCGGCAGGCCUAACACAUGCAAGUCGAGCGGAGCGGCGGACGGGUGAGGAAUGCCUAGGAAUCUGCAUGGUAGUGGGGGAUAACGUCCGGAUACGGGCGCUAAUACCGCAUACUAUCAGAUGAGCCUAGGUCGGAUUAGCUAGUUGGUGAGGUAAAGGCCUACCAAGGCGACGAUCCGUAGCUGGUCCGAGAGGAUGAUCAGUCACAGUGGGACGGAGACACGGGCCAGACUGCUACGGGAGGCAGAAGUGGGGAAGAUGGGACAAUGGGCGAAGGCCUGAUCCGGCCAUGCCGCGUGUGUGAAGAAGGUCUUCGGAUAGUAAAGCACUUGAAGUUGGGAGGCGUUACCAACAGCAUAAGCACCGGCUAACUUCGUGCCAGCAGCCGCGGUAAUAC
rnacentral:rRNA from 1 species